GCUUCUGCACACUGAAGAAACACUGGUGAAGGCGUGAUCGAUCCCAGCUGCACAUUCAAAUAUGAAGUUCUUAUGGAUAAUCCCAUUCUUCCUGCUGCAAGACGCUGAAACUUUUCUGAUGAAAAAUGCUAAAGUCAAGCUGUGUUUACAAGCCAGCCCGAGGGAUGGGACUUUACUGCUGGAGGGCUGUAAUCCAGCCUCAGAUUUCCAAGAUUGGUCUUGGGAAGGCGAUUCUUUGGUGAAUCUCGGCACGCAGGAAUGCCUCUCCGUGGUGGAGGCCAGCAGAGUGCAGACCGAUGUCUGCGACAGCGCGGGCCGCACGAGCUGGGACUGCUCGAAUUCGCUGCUCUCCCCUGCGGGCGGCAGCCAGGGCUACCUGGUGGCGAGCAGGAGAGGAGUCAGCCUCGCCGACGCGAGAGGCCCCAAGGCGCAGUGGCAAGGGGCUGCGGAGAGGAGCGUGUGUGAGGAGAAAGCAGGUAAGCGCUGCGCAACGUGGUGCGYGCACACGCUGCCGGGGAACAAGGAAAGGCACAGGCAGUGUCCUGGGGUCUUUCCAACCCUGGGUGCCCCGCCAUAAACAGAUCUAGAAACACUCUCCACUCCUCACUAUGUGAGACAAGGCUGAGCCUGGAGAGCUUUGCUCUGCCUGCUGGCAGAGAUGCAACGGGUGGCCCUGGGGAACAAGGAGAAGGCUGUUUUUAUCUUGAAGAAUYGCAGUGAAAAUCCACUGCCUCUUUCUCUUCUUCUCCUCCACAGCCAAGGCAGAGCACGACAGAUACUUCCCCGCAGCCCUUACCAGCACACGCAUGUAUGAGCCUACAGCAGGCAACGCUACCCUUGUGCUGGGGAUGGCUCCAGGACAGUUGGAGGAGCUGCUGUGGUUCUUCCGCAGAGAAGACCGUAAGUCCCAUUGAUGUUCCCAGGUUGAGAGUUGAAAUAGAGUUGUAGUCCUGGGUUGUGAACCCCCUUAGGUAGGUGCCCUAGGGAAUUACCCCAGGAGGCAGAACCGGCUAUAUGAACCCUCGCUCUCACCUCCAGAAAAAGCAGGCCAUGAGCAAAGACAGGAGUCAGGCUCUGCAGAGACAGGGUCUUCUCCCCAAGAGGAGUUCAUCCUCUUUCCAGAGAUAUUCUGCCAAGAGAGCAAAGGUCUGGGAUCACCAGUGAUUUUGGCAGGGUGGAGGGAACAGAUCAAUAAGAGCUGGUCAGGGUCCCCAGGGUAAACUUCAAAGCCACAGAAAUCAAGGACGGAGCAGCCACUGCCAUCCGUGCUGCACACCACCUGCCUGAGCACRGAGGAGGGGAGAAAGGAAGGAAAGGCCCUUCCAGCAGCAUCCAUGGAGGGAUGCUGUAGCUCCCAGCCCUGCGCCCAGCCUCCAGCACCACCCUCAGACCACAGGCAGGGUGAGAAGGCAGAUGUGGUCACUGGGGGAGAUACAGACCCCAAGGCGGGGGGACUGGGAGAGGCAAAAAUCAACUGUGUGAGUCUCCUGCCCAGUGAGGGAGAGUUACCUGAGGUUAUCCCCAAAAACGUGACCUAGGGGCUCUGCUCUGGAUGCUGAGCUGGACACCAGCACCUC
rnacentral:lncRNA from 1 species